CUGUAUGCGCUCACCGCCCAGC
rnacentral:miRNA from 1 species